rnacentral:snRNA from 1 species
AUCGCUUCUCGGCCUUUUGGCUUAGAUCAAGUGUAGUACCUUUAACCUUGUGUGGGAAAGCAGGAUUACACAGACGUGCUUUAUCAGUUUUGCCAGUAUUCUCUACAUUAAGUUACCACUUCAUUUUUGAGUUGUCUUUCUCUCUUAAUGAACUGUUCCAAA